CAUUAAAAGACCGGUUCCCAUAAAAUCACCAAAGUUAAGCAACGUCGAGCCUGGCUCAGUACCUAGAUGGGUAACCGUUUGGAAUUACCAGGUGUUGUAA